rnacentral:rRNA from 1 species
UCAAUCUCGUGUGGCUAUAUAUACCACCGGUCCCUCUAAGAAGAUUUCAAUGUACGCCGAUAGUUGAAGACCGCGGAACGCUUGCGCGCCCGCGGACCCUCGUGAUAUCGGUAGCACGUCUAUUUAAUAGGCUAGAGUUACGUUCGUUAC